rnacentral:misc_RNA from 1 species
UGGCGCUCCGGCGCCAUGAUGCUAACCCGUGAACACAUUCUUGUGCAUAUUGAGGAACCGCAUCGGAAGGUGCGUGUUAGCUUGUCGUGCUCCUAGUAAUACCCCUAAGUCGUGGGGUUGAGCACGCGAGCUUGCUUCGGCGGACGAUUUUCGUCGUGAUGGUUAUAUUCCAUGGUUCGUUUGGACCUGGAAUAUGGCAUUGCGAUAGACCGCCAGAGCACCUCCCCUUGGGUCCCCCGGAUGCUUUCGACAAUCUCGAACGCAUCGUCUGGGUGUGGCUGGAGGGCAACCUCGAAAACCCAAACAAAAUCAUGCAACCCCUUGUAUUUACCCGAUCGUCCUGAUCGUAUUGAAAACCGUGGCUAUCACAGCCUCCGUUUCGAAAUCAAACUGAAAAACUCUCAACAACGGAUAUCUUGGCUCUUGCAACGAUGAAGAACGCAGCGAAAUGCGAUACGUAGUGUGAAUUGCAGAAUUCCGUGAAUCAUCGAAUGUUUGAACGCAAAUUGCGCCCGAGGCUUCGGCCGAGGGCAUGUCUGCUUGAGCGCCGCUGGACACCCCUCGUCCCAACUUCUCGUCGUCACUAUGUGGGUGAUGAGAUGAGGACGGAUUGAUGGUCGCCUCGAAUACAUGAGACAGAACGGCGGCGUAAGCCCUAUUCUCCUCAUCGAGCCGGCUGGAAAAAAAAA